AACGAACGCUGGCGGCAGGCUUAACACAUGCAAGUCGAACGGUUGCAGCAAUGCAGCAGUGGCAGACGGGUGAGUAACACGUGGGAACCUUCCUAGGGGUACGGAACAACUCAGGGAAACUUGAGCUAAUACCGUAUACGUCCGUGAGGAGAAAGAUUUAUCGCCCUUAGACGGGCCCGCGUCGGAUUAGCUAGUUGGAGGGGUAACGGCCUACCAAGGCGACGAUCCGUAGCUGAUCUUAGAGGAUGAUCAGCCACACUGGGACUGAGACACGGCCCAGACUCCUACGGGAGGCAGCAGUGGGGAAUCUUGGACAAUGGGCGCAAGCCUGAUCCAGCCAUGCCGCGUGAGUGAAGAAGGUCUUCGGAUUGUAAAGCUCUUUUGCCAGGGACGAUAAUGACGGUACCUGGAGAAUAAGCCCCGGCAAACUUCGUGCCAGCAGCCGCGGUAAUAC
rnacentral:rRNA from 1 species